ACCCCGCGUGAGGGAUGACGGCCUUGGGGUUGUAAACCUCUUUCACCAGGGACGAAGCGUGAGUGACGGUACCUGGAGAAGAAGCACCGGCCAACUACGUGCCAGCAGCCGCGGUAAUACGUAGGGUGCGAGCGUUGUCCGGAAUUACUGGGCGUAAAGAGCUCGUAGGCGGUUUGUCGCGUCGUCUGUGAAAUUCUGCAACUCAAUUGUAGGCGUGCAGGCGAUACGGGCAGACUUGAGUACUACAGGGGAGACUGGAAUUCCUGGUGUAGCGGUGAAAUGCGCAGAUAUCAGGAGGAACACCGGUGGCGAAGGCGGGUCUCUGGGUAGUAACUGACGCUGAGGAGCGAAAGCGUGGGUAGCGAACAGGAUUAGAUACCCUGGUAGUC
rnacentral:rRNA from 1 species